GAUGAACGCUAGCGGCAGGCUUAAUACAUGCAAGUCGAGGGGUAGCAAGAUUGUAGCAAUACAAUUGUUGACGACCGGCAAACGGGUGCGGAACACGUACACAACCUUCCUACAAGUGGGGAAUAGCCGAGAGAAAUUUGGAUUCAUACCCCGUAACAUAGCGAUGUGGCAUCACAUUUCUAUUAUAGCUUUGGCCAUUGUUGAUGGGUGUGCGGUUGAUUAGAGAGUUGGCGGGGUAACGGCGCACCAAGUCUACGAUCAGUAGCUGAUGUGAGCGCAUGCUCAGCCACACGGGAACUGAGACACGGGCCCGACUCCUACGGGAGGCAGCAGUAAGGAAUAUUGGACAAUGGACGCAAGUCUGAUCCAGCCAUGCCGCGUGAAGGAUUAAGGUCCUCUGGAUUGUAAACUUCUUUUAUAAGGGACGAAAAAAGGUCUUUCUAGAUCGUCUGACGGUACCUUAUGAAUAAGCACCGGCUAACUCCGUGCCAGCCGCCGCUGUAACAC
rnacentral:rRNA from 1 species